AGCCUAAUAGUUAAGCUAUCAGAUUUCCCGGAGGACUGACCAAACCGGCUACGGACCCUUUAGACCCAAUAAUCACGAUCACCACUCGGGCCGCCGGUGUUACCGCGGCGGCUGGCACCGGUCUUGCCCGGCCCUUGCUAACAAGUGUAUUUUACACACCUGGACAGCCAGCAUAUGAUGCUAGCACUCGGUGUCCCCUUAUCACGGUUUCCCGCAUUGUAAAGUUUUCGCGCCUGCUGCGCCCCGUAGGGCCUGGAUUCAUGUCUCAGAAUCCAUCUCCGGGCUCUUGCUCUCACAACCCGUACCCGUUGUAGGCUAGUAGGUACAUUACACCCACUACUACCUGAUAGGCCGCAGACCCAUCCUUGGGCAGACGAAUCCAUUUGACGCAUAAAGCAUUCCAGCAUAUAUGCGUUAUCCGGAAUUAUCCCCAGUUUCCCGGGGUUAUGCCGGACCCAAGGGCAGGUUAUCCACGUGUUACUGAGCAGUACGCCAUGUUCACGAAGAACAUAUGACUCGCAUGGCUUAGGCGAACACCGAUAGCAGUAACCUCUGGCAGGAUCAACCAGAA
rnacentral:rRNA from 1 species